GCAAACUUGGUCAUUUAGAGGAAGUAAAAGUCGUAACAAGGUUUCCGUAGGUGAACCUGCGGAAGGAUCAUUAAAGAGGAUCAAGGUGCCAAGUUAGAGUUUAGCUGGCAUCCCUCCCCACCCGUGUUUACUUGACCUCUCUGUUGCCUCGGCGGGCCCGCUACCAUCUUGUGUUACAAGGAGGUGGCUGCUAGGGUGUCUGACGCCUUUUUGCUCGCGUCCGCCAGGGGAUCUUCUGAACCCAUUGUGAGUUGUGUCCUGUCUGAGUGGCUUAAAAAUAUCAAAACUUUCAACAAAGGAUCUCUUGGUUCCGGCAUCGAUGAAGAACGCAGC
rnacentral:misc_RNA from 1 species